rnacentral:tRNA from 1 species
GCGACUGUGGUGGAAUAGGCAGACACGUACGUUUGAGGGGCGUAUGCUAAAUGCAUGUGGGUUCAAGUCCCAUCGGUCGCACCA